rnacentral:rRNA from 1 species
AUGGCGCAGUCCGGCAACAACGACGCCGCCCCGAUCAGUACUCAGCUCGCGGCGGUAAGGGAUCUCACCCCGAGAUUUGAUUCGGUUUUUCAAUUUCCUCAUGAUUUGGUGUUGAUUUGUGGUUUGUUGGCGCGCGCGCAGGAGGAUGUGAAGGUGGAGAGGACGCCCGAGGAGGAGGAGGCCAGGCUGAGGUACCUCGAGUUCGUGCAGCAGGCGGUUGCGCAGGCUGUCUUGCUGGUCGCCGCGGCCUACGCAUACGCCAAGCAGGACACCGGCCCGCUAUGCCCCGGCGUCGACCACGUCGAGGGGACCGUCAAGGCCGUCGUCGGCCCCGUGUACGACUGCUACCACGCCAUGCCGCUCGAUCUCCUCAAGAACCUCAACCUUAUUUCUUAG